GGACGAACGCUGGCGGCGUGCUUUAACACAUGCAAGUCGAGCGAUGAAGCUUCCUUUCGGGAAGUGGAUUAGCGGCGGACGGGUGAGUAACACGUGGGUAACCUGCCUCAAAGUGGGGGAUAGCCUUCCGAAAGGAAGAUUAAUACCGCAUAAUAUGAGAGAAUCGCAUGAUUUUCUUAUCAAAGAUUUAUUGCUUUGAGAUGGACCCGCGGCGCAUUAGCUAGUUGGUAAGGUAACGGCUUACCAAGGCAACGAUGCGUAGCCGACCUGAGAGGGUGAUCGGCCACAUUGGAACUGAGAUACGGUCCAGACUCCUACGGGAGGCAGCAGUGGGGAAUAUUGCGCAAUGGGGGAAACCCUGACGCAGCAACGCCGCGUGGGUGAUGAAGGUCUUCGGAUUGUAAAGCCCUGUUUUCUGGGACGAUAAUGACGGUACCAGAGGAGGAAGCCACGGCUAACUACGUGCCAGCAGCCGCGGUAAUACGUAGGUGGCGAGCGUUGUCCGGAUUUACUGGGCGUAAAGGGUGCGUAGGCGGAUGUUUAAGUGGGGAUGUGAAAUCCCCCGGGCUUAACCUGGGGGCUGCAUUCCCAAACUGGAUAUCUAGAGUGCAGGAGAGGAAAGCGGAAUUUCCUAGUGUAGCGGUGAAAUGCGUAGAGAAUUAGGAAGAAACACCAGUGGGCGAAAGCGGCUUUUCUGAACUGUAACUGACGCUGAGGGCACGAAAGCGUGGGUAGC
rnacentral:rRNA from 1 species